rnacentral:rRNA from 1 species
CCUACGGGAGGCAGCAGUGGGGAAUAUUGCACAAUGGGCGCAAGCCUGAUGCAGCAACGCCGCGUGAGGGACGAAGGCCUUCGGGUUGUAAACCUCUUUUAGUAGGGAAGAAGCGAAAGUGACGGUACCUGCAGAAAAAGCACCGGCUAACUACGUGCCAGCAGCCGCGGUAAUACGUAGGGUGCAAGCGUUGUCCGGAAUUAUUGGGCGUAAAGAGCUCGUAGGCGGUUUGUCGCGUCUGCUGUGAAAACCCCGAGGCUCAACCUCGGGCCUGCAGUGGGUACGGGCAGACUAGAGUGCGGUAGGGGAGAUUGGAAUUCCUGGUGUAGCGGUGGAAUGCGCAGAUAUCAGGAGGAACACCGAUGGCGAAGGCAGAUCUCUGGGCCGUAACUGACGCUGAGGAGCGAAAGCAUGGGGAGCGAACAGGAUUAGAUACCCUGGUAGUCCAUGCCGUAAACGUUGGGAACUAGAUGUGGGGGCCAUUCCACGGCUUCCGUGUUCGCAGCUAACGCAUUAAGUUCCCCGCCUCGGGGAGUACGGCCGCAAGGCUAAAACUCAAAGGAAUUGACGG